UAGAGAAGGGUCUGUAAUUAUUGUUGGUGCUGGACUCGCUGGUUUGGCUGCAGCGAGGCAACUGAUGUCGUUUGGAUUCAAGGUAAGUAUCCUUGAAGGUAGGAACCGACCUGGAGGGAGAGUUUAUUCUGAGAAAAUGGGAUGGAAGGGAAAGUUUGCUGCUGUGGAUCUUGGUGGCAGUGUUAUAACUGGUAUCCAUGCGAAUCCUUUGGGUGUUUUGGCUAGACAACUUUCCAUUCCGCUUCACAAGGUUAGAGAUAAGUGUCCUUUAUAUAAACCUGAUGGAGCUCCUGUUGAUGCAGUAGUUGAUUCCAGAGUUGAGCUCAUUUUCAAUAAGCUACUAGACAAAGUUACUGAGCUGAGAAAAAUCG
rnacentral:misc_RNA from 1 species